GCCCGGAUAACUCAGUCACGGUAGAGCAUGAGAUUUUUAAUCUCAAGGUUGUGGGCUCGAGCGCCACGUUGAGCG
rnacentral:tRNA from 1 species